UACGGGGGGAGCAAGCGUUGUUCGGAUUUACUGGGCGGAAAGGGCGCGUAGGCGGUCGUGACAAGUCACUUGUGAAAUCUCCGGGCUUAACUCGGAACGGUCAAGUGAUACUGUCGGACUAGAGUACAGAAGGGGCAACUGGAAUUCUCGGUGUAGCGGUGAAAUGCGUAGAUAUCGAGAGGAACACCUGCGGCGAAGGCGGGUUGCUGGGCUGAUACUGACGCUGAGGCGCGAAAGCCAGGGGAGCGAACGGG
rnacentral:rRNA from 1 species